UACGAAGGGGGCUAGCGUUGUUCGGAAUUACUGGGCGUAAAGCGCACGUAGGCGGAUAUUUAAGUCAGGGGUGAAAUCCCAGAGCUCAACUCUGGAACUGCCUUUGAUACUGGGUAUCUUGAGUAUGGAAGAGGUAAGUGGAAUUGCGAGUGUAGAGGUGAAAUUCGUAGAUAUUCGCAGGAACACCAGUGGCGAAGGCGGCUUACUGGUCCAUUACUGACGCUGAGGUGCGAAAGCGUGGGGAGCAAAC
rnacentral:rRNA from 2 species